CUGCCUUCCCCCCCCCCCCCAUCAUAUAAAUUGCUGCUGUACGCUGGAGGAAAGUCGCCUUUAACUGGUACACAUGCUGUACUGAGUGACAUCCUCAAUUUAAAUGGAAAUUCUAUCAAUAACCAACAUGCUAUCUCUCCUCGCCUAGGAAAGGGCUUAGAAAUAUCAUUCAGAAGUACAAAAAAAGCCACUGCUUGAACCCGUUGGUACCAGAGCAGGUACUGUCCUCUCAGAAAGGCCAAUUGUAGAUAUGAGCUGCCCAUUUGUUUGCAGCCAAGAGAGCGUAAAUUAUCUGCCUGAAAUCCGAGUUCAGUAAUCAAGGCUGAAAAUGAAACGUAGGUGGGAGGAAAUAGGAAUCUCGUUAGGUGGUGACCACUGCCACGUCUUCCAGCAGCACUGAAAGGUGUUGGCUGAAUACAGGAGCCAAUGUGGGGACAAAGAGGCAGAAACUGGAGCUACUAGAGCAAGAAUGAACAGGAGGCAGGUAGGAGCAGCGUUACCUCUGACCACAGCAAGUUUGGGAGAUGUUUUUGCCAUGAAAGAGGGAGGUUUAAGAGACAGUGCCACAGGUAUGAGGAGGUUGAGGUGUAUAAAGAGGCUCAGUGUGUGCUCAGGUCCCAUCUAACACCCCCUCCUUCCCUGCAGCCUUUUCAUCCUGUUACUUUUGCCUCUGUUUCUCACAGUUCGUCCAUUCUAUGCCAGACCUGACUGUACUCUCCCCAGGUCAGACAUCUUCCUGUAUCAGUGUAACGCUAUGGAAGCCCUGAAAGCCAUCCCCUAAGAAUAACUAGUAAUGCAAAAUGAAUCAGAAGUUGACAGGCAGUCAAGCGAAGAUGAGUGGCUUCUUUGCCAUCCACGUCUCUAAGAAUACUUGGUGAGAAGUUUCCAUUUGCUGCAGCUGGUGUCUGCACAGCUUUGGUUUUUCUCUUCCUAACUGGUCAACCCCAGCACCUUCCUCAGAACAGACUCAAGCAGAGCCUUUCCCAUCAUGUUGUGUGCCAACAGCCACAGCGCAGCAAGCCCAGGGAGCAAGGUUAGAGCUUGUAGGAGCAUCCCCAGUGCCAACUCAUGCCCUUGCUAAGGACUGCAGUCAACACAGAUUCAACAAAUAAAUAAACAUUUGUAAUAGGUCUGGUGCCUGACCUCAUCCCAACGGUGAUCACUAAGAGAAUCAUUGACCUGACCGUUUGCUGCUAGAGAAGUUUGGAAAUGCCAGGUUCAUUACAGUCCUGCUUAUUGCCAGGAAGCAUUACUGCUUUGUGCUUGCAGCAGCUUUAAAGGUGGAUGAAAACUAUAACGCCGGGUCAGCCCAGAUGCACACCAAAUGCAUCAUCCCAGCCUUGUUGGAAAAGGAUAUUACAAUGGCCCAGUACCCUGUUUGCACUGAUGUCCCCACGGAGAGAACACAGUGAGCUGGCUGGGAGAAGAAAAUGAACAGUUCUAUUUAUGCAGCAAGUAAAUGAUCACAGAGCAAGCAUUAGUGCCCAUUGCCCUGAAGGACAGAGAGCUGUAUAUGGCCCUUCAGGACAGAAUUCACAGCCAUGAAGAAGAGGCAGAAGAAGUCUGUCUGAUUCUUCCCAGGUGCAGCUCGGUGCCAAGAGCUCCCAUCUUCCCUCAGCACGUGUUCCUGUGUGAGUCUUUCAAGUCUGGAUAUGGGAGUGAUGUUGUGUACAAGCCUUGGCUCGGUUUCUGCAAAAGCUCAUUCUGAAAAGAAGGGGUUUAUAUAUAUCCUCCCAUCUCUCCUCCUGUUACACAAACGUACUCUCUCAGCUCAGAUAAUUAAAAAUACUCACACAUCCCCAAAGCAGAGCAGCUCAGGUGUGACCAAAUGUGCCCGUUCCCGCAUUUCACCCUUUGAGAGCUUCACAAAUCAAAGAGAAUCACUUUCAGACAGUGAUGAAUUGCUUAUGCUCUCAUUUGUUUGCUUGAAGUUCUCCUUUAACAAAAUGUGAAUGUCUUUGUUGGCUGUGAAAGUGUGGGGGAGGUGCUCCAGCCCUCUUGAGGUGUGAGGAGCAAGCUGGCACCCAUCUCCAUCCCCAUAAUGCUGCACUGGGGGGGUACAUAGCCACACUCUAGGCUGUGUGGGUAUGGAGCUUUGUCACAACACUUCAUCCCAGCUUGGCUGGAUCCCUUUUCCUUUUUAAACCCCAACCACUUUGUUCCUGAUCUGACCUGCCUCGUCUCUCUGUCUCUGCCUUUCUCUGUGACGGCUGCUGCUUGUGAUCUGCUUUUACAUGGACCUAAAUCUGGAUUGAUGAUCUGCCCCUUCCUCUGAAGAGCUGUAUCACAGUGAUGACAUUUCAGAGUCAGUAUAUCACUGCACACAGACUUGCUGAAGCACUUCCCCAGCUCCCAUCCCUCCUAACAAUGCAUUACUUAAGAAAAUUAAAGCUGAAGGAUGUAUGUGACCAUCCUUCUGAUUCAGGGGGUCGUGCACCAGAGACGUUGCUGGAAUAAGGAAGGGCAGCAUUGCCUUUGCUCAGAUCCUUCUGGCAGCACUUAUCAAUUAUUUGGGUCCACAUUAUGAAGCAAAGGCUCCAUGCCACGACACUGGUUGUUGCUGACAGCUGGAAUCUCAGGUCCCCUUGAUCAUGUAGACUUUGCUGCUGGGGACAAGUAGGAGUUUCCUCCUGUCCUUUACUGGAGAAAGGUUUCCUUAGCCAGGUUCACCCAGGGCUGCUCCUCCUGCACAGCCAUCACACUGCAGAGUAAUGGGAGGGAGUGGGAGAUGGGAGAAGCUCUCCGAUGGCUCUGCAACAGGAGAUGCUCUGCUCCGCCUGCUCUGCAUUUAGCUGCCUGCUGAGCUGCCUCCCAGUAAGAAACAGUCAGGGAGGGGAGAGCAGAGGGCACCCAGGUGCUUGUGCAGCAAUAACUUAUUUAUUUAGAAAUCAGCAGUGUGUGUUUGCUCUGCAGUACCUCUGAACACACUGGGGGUGAGGAGAGUUGGAGAGAGGAGAAAAUGGCAUAUCUCAAUCCACUUUAACUCUUCCCUCUCUUCUUUCAGACACAAGGGUGAAAUGCUUUGGACUCAAUAUGCAACGUGUCACAUGAUGGUCUGGGAAAUGGAUACGGACAUAAGAGAAUUGGCUGUGCAGCGCUCAGAGCCCAACCAAACAGAGAUUAACUGCAUUCCUGGCUGCAGGCUCACCCCAAAUCCAUGCUGCAGUUCCACACUGUAGGGGCUAGAAGGCAAACACAAGAGAGAAUGAGUGAAA